rnacentral:rRNA from 1 species
AUCAUUCGGCUUUCAACGUAAUUCAAAUAAGGUACAGCCUAUUUGAAACAGGAUACAACCUAGACCAAUGGAUAAGAUCAGCCUAGCAUACAAUCAAGUGGGCCUAAAAGCAGCCACCUUAAGUAAAGCGUCAAAGCUAAGUUGUAACCGCGCCAAAUCUCUUAAUCUUCAUCUUAAUCCCCAACCAAUACUGAGUAAUUCUAUAACAUUAUAGAAAUUUUUAUGUUAAAACUAGUAACAAGAAGAAGACUCUUCUCUUAAAUGUACGUGUAAAUCAGAAAAGACAAGCUACUGAUACUUAACACCCUUGAGCUCAAAGUAGCAACUAACCAAGAAAACCCUACUUUCAUUAGUGUUAACCUAACACAAGAACAUUCCGAGAAAGAUUUAAAGAAAAAGAAGGAACUCGGCAAAUAUUAACCUCGCCUGUUUACCAAAAACAUCGCCUCUUGAAUUUCUAUGAGAGGUCCAGCCUGCCCAGUGACCCUGUUCAACGGCCGCGGUAUCCUAACCGUGCGAAGGUAGCGUAAUCACUUGUUCUCUAAAUGUGGACUAGUAUGAAUGGCAUCACGAAGGUUAUACUGUCUCCUUUUUCUAAUCAGUGAAACUAAUCUCCCCAUGAAGAAGCGGGGAUAGCACUAUAAGACGAGAAGACCCUAUGGAGCUUCAAACAAUGCAGCAUCUGCCCCACAACACUGAAAUUUCCGAAUUAAAACUCCUCUGGGCAGUGUGACUGCGAGUUUUUGGUUGGGGUGACCACGGAGCAUAACAUAACCUCCAUGCUGAAAGAAUAUUUCUAAGCUAAGAACCACAAAUCCAAGCAUCAAUAAAUUGACAUCCAUUGACCCAAUAUACUUGAACAACGAACCAAGUUACCCUAGGGAUAACAGCGCAAUCCACUUCAAAAGCUCCUAUCGACAAGUGGGUUUACGACCUCGAUGUUGGAUCAGGGUCUCCCAGUGGUGCAGCCGCUACUAAA